AUUUUGAAAUUCGGGUUUAGACAAAAAGAAAUUUCAAGCUCCUGAAGAACAAGUUUGAAGGAUUCAGAGCAGAGAAUUGCACCCUGGCGUGAUGCCUGUGCCAGCUGGACUGUGUGAUUUUUGUUCUUUAGUAGAAGGAUAACAUGACAUAGCAGGAAUAAUACUGCCUUUUCUUUCUGGCAUGGAUCAAGAGAAAAGAAAAUACAAGAAAACAGACAGAAGAUCCUAUCUGUGACAAUUAAGAGCACUCUAAGAGGAAAACACAUCCCACCACACAAGGCAAGCUACAUCUAUAGAAGGGUGAGCCCUCACAGAUGGAGCAAUGGUGAGUGCACACCUGAACAAGGGAGGGGAAGGAGUUCUUAUCCCUGACGCAUGUGGCCCCUGCUGCUGUGUCGUUCUCCUAUUGGCUAAGGUUAGACCACACAGGCUAAACUAAUUCUGAUUGGCUAAUUUAAAGAGAGCGACGGGGGCUUCUGAUAGCUUUGGAGAUUGUGACAUUGGAAUACAGAAAAAACGUACAGGACUCAUGAAGAGCUGAAAUGUUCACAAAUAUCAAGCAAAAGUCAAUGACAUUUAUUUUGAGCUAUUUACAGCGUUUCAUAAUUGAGCAAGGUAUACUCCUAUGAACAAAAUUUGGAGCAUGUUUGUCUCUCUCUCUCUGCCUGGCAUCUUCAGAAUUUGGAAACUAGUUAGUCAAGGAAAUUUAUUUUGAGCUAUUUACAGCAUUUAAUAAUUGAGCAAGGUAUAUUCCUAUGAACAAAAUUUGGAGCAUGUUUGUCUCUGUCUGUCUGCCUGGCGUCUACAGAAUUUGGAAACUAGUUUCUUUCUCAGAUUUCCUAAACUUUCCAGAGAAAAUGGUCUUCUCCCUGGCUCAGCAAGAAGAUGAACUUUAAACACUGAGAAAGUCAUCAUCUCCCUGGCUCAACCAGAAGAUGAACUUUAAACACUAUUCUCAAUGACUCGAUGUUCCCAUCACUACUACUAUCAUAAAGGGAGGGGACCCAGAUACUGAGAAUUUUAUCAUAGUGUGAACUGUCUGGUAUGUCAUUUAAGUAAGCCCAUUGCUGAAAUAUUUUCCAUGUUAUUAGAAAGAGCUGAAGAGAGGGGUUGCAAUGGCUUCUUUAUUUUUUGUCUUUUGGGGAUUAAAGGAACCUGGUUCAACAAGGGCCUACACCUAAGUCUCUUGUUGUACCAGAGUACAAUUUAGGACUGCUCCUGAGAAGGAAUUAGCUAGAAAUCUAGAGAGUAAGGGUAACAGAUUUACAAUAGAAUAACAGCCUCAGUAUUUUUGGUUCCUCUCCAGUAACGAUCACAAAGAAUAUUGCUAAAUCGCUAAAACACCUUUGCAAUAACGUAAGUGCUUACAGCUAUAUACCAAUGUAGCUCAGUUACUAAACUGGAGUAAAAUAAUUUCUCUUGUGUAGAAAAAUUGGUUGGCUGUGGUUUUAUAGCAGAUUUGCAACUAUUAAUAGUUAUGCCAAUAAUCGUUUAACAGUGCAUAUGUUAAUAUAUAUGGAAAGACAAUGUGUAUAGACAGAUGUGUAAAAUUGAAAAAUAAACAUAUAACGAGAGAGAAACAUCUAUCGAACAGACAAUAUACAUACACGUCAAACACAACAGCAGUUUUAGUGACCAUAAUAUUUAUUUCUCAUUUUUACGUUGGUUACAUUAGUGACAACUGAAAAUGACAGUUGGCAAUGCAGCUAACAGUUUCAAUAAAAGUAUAAAACAAAA
rnacentral:lncRNA from 1 species